rnacentral:rRNA from 1 species
UACGUAGGGUGCGAGCGUUAAUCGGAAUUACUGGGCGUAAAGCGUGCGCAGGCGGUUUUGUAAGCCAGAUGUGAAAUCCCCGGGCUUAACCUGGGAAUGGCAUUUGGGACUGCAAGGCUUGAGUGCGGCAGAGGAGACUGGAAUUCCUGGUGUAGCAGUGAAAUGCGUAGAUAUCAGGAGGAACACCGGUGGCGAAGGCGGGUCUCUGGGCCAAAACUGACGCUGAGGAGCGAAAGCGUGGGGAGCGAACAGG